rnacentral:rRNA from 1 species
CCUAACACAUGCAGUCGAACGGUAACAGGAAGCAGCUUGCUGCUUUGCUGACGAGUGGCGGACGGGUGAGUAAUGUCUGGGAAACUGCCCGAUGGAGGGGGAUAACUACUGGAAACGGUAGCUAAUACCGCAUAAUGUCGCAAGACCAAAGAGGGGGACCUUCGGGCCUCUUGCCAUCGGAUGUGCCCAGAUGGGAUUAGCUAGUUGGUGAGGUAACGGCUCACCAAGGCGACGAUCCCUAGCUGGUCUGAGAGGAUGACCAGCCACACUGGAACUGAGACACGGUCCAGACUCCUACGGGAGGCAGCAGUGGGGAAUAUUGCACAAUGGGCGCAAGCCUGAUGCAGCCAUGCCGCGUGUAUGAAGAAGGCCUUCGGGUUGUAAAGUACUUUCAGCGGGGAGGAAGGGGUUAAGGUUAAUAACCUUACCCAUUGACGUUACCCGCAGAAGAAGCACCGGCUAACUCCGUGCCAGCAGCCGCGGUAAUACGGAGGGUGCAAGCGUUAAUCGGAAUUACUGGGCGUAAAGCGCACGCAGGCGGUCUGUCAAGUCGGAUGUGAAAUCCCCGGGCUCAACCUGGGAACUGCAUUCGAAACUGGCAGGCUUGAGUCUCGUAGAGGGGGGUAGAAUUCCAGGUGUAGCGGUGAAAUGCGUAGAGAUCUGGAGGAAUACCGGUGGCGAAGGCGGCCCCCUGGACGAAGACUGACGCUCAGGUGCGAAAGCGUGGGGAGCAAACAGGAUUAGAUACCCUGGUAGUCCACGCCGUAAACGAUGUCUAUUUGGAGGUUGUGCCCUUGAGGCGUGGCUUCCGGAGCUAACGCGUUAAAUAGACCGCCCGGGGGAAUACGGCCGCCAGGGUUAAAACUCAAAUGAAUUGACGGGGGCCCGCCCAAACCGGUGGAACAUGGGGUUUUAAUUCCGAUGCAACCGCGAAGAAACCUUACCGGGCUUUAAAUUCCCAAAAAUUUGCAAAAAAUCUUGGGUGCCUUGGGAA